GGCCGGUUGUAGAGGAAGCCCAACAUGGGUGGAGCACCGUGGAACUCGCGGUAGCGGCCGCGGAAGGCGGGUCCGGUGAGGAGGCCGAACCAGGGCUUGCUGACGAGGGAGGCCCGCACGAGCGCCGCGGGCUCGUCCGGCGGAAGGCGGAGGAAGACCUCCUCCACUAGCUCGUCCGGCAGCGACGUCAUGGUCGGCCUGUCAGUGGAGGCGAGGUGGGGGAUUCGGUAGGCGAAGAGCUUGAUCUGGCGUCGACUGCUCGGGUUCAGCUCAGUGACAAAUGGAGAAGCUAGCCAGUUUUUCUCAGUGGAGUUUGAGCACAAUGGAGUUUUCUUGGGGGAAUGCAUAGGUGGAGAAUUGAAGUUCUCUUACAUUGGGUGCAGUCAUGAAGCUUUUGACUACUGUCAUUCAGACACAUGGUCACUGGGGAUGAUCAAGUAUUGCUUGUCAAGGAUGGACUAUGACCCCACAGACCCUCAAAUCAAGGUGUACUGGAUUUUGCCAGAUAAAGACUAUGGUGAUGGCCUGCUAUGUGUGGACAAUCCAGAUGUUAUAGCUGCUAUGGUGAGGUCCAGCAGAGAAGCCAAGACAUUGGAUUUGUUAGUUGAUGAGGAGAACAAGAUUCAGACAUUAUAUCCUGAAAUCAUACUAAAAGGAUGCCCAACUGCAGAUGGAAAUGAGGAUGAAGAACAAGGAGAGGAUGCAUGUAACGCCCCGGAUACAACUUUCCAUAUUCGUAACUCCGACUCUUGCCUUUUCCGGAGAUGCUAUAUGAUAUUUCCUCCGUGGUUGAGUUUU